rnacentral:rRNA from 1 species
GAUGAACGCUGGCGGCGUGCCUAAUACAUGCAAGUCGAGCGAACAGAUGAGGAGCUUGCUCCUCUGACGUUAGCGGCGGACGGGUGAGUAACACGUGGAUAACCUACCUAUAAGACUAGGAUAACUUCGGGAAACCGGAGCUAAUACCGGAUAAUAUAUUGAACCGCAUGGUUCAAUAGUGAAAGACGGUUUUGCUGUCACUUAUAGAUGGAUCCGCGCCGCAUUAGCUAGUUGGUAAGGUAACGGCUUACCAAGGCAACGAUGCGUAGCCGACCUGAGAGGGUGAUCGGCCACACUGGAACUGAGACACGGUCCAGACUCCUACGGGAGGCAGCAGUAGGGAAUCUUCCGCAAAGGGCGAAAGCCUGACGGAGCAACGCCGCGUGAGUGAUGAAGGUCUUCGGAUCGUAAAACUCUGUUAUUAGGGAAGAACAAAUGUGUAAGUAACUAUGCACGUCUUGACGGUACCUAAUCAGAAAGCCACGGCUAACUACGUG